rnacentral:rRNA from 1 species
AGCGAACGCUGGCGGCAGGCCUAACACAUGCAAGUCGAACGAAGUCUUCGGACUUAGUGGCGGACGGGUGAGUAACACGUGGGAACGUGCCUUUAGGUUCGGAAUAACUCAGGGAAACUUGUGCUAAUACCGAAUGUGCCCUCCGGGGGAAAGAUUUAUCGCCUUUAGAGCGGCCCGCGUCUGAUUAGCUAGUUGGUGAGGUAAAGGCUCACCAAGGCGACGAUCAGUAGCUGGUCUGAGAGGAUGAUCAGCCACAUUGGGACUGAGACACGGCCCAAACUCCUACGGGAGGCAGCAGUGGGGAAUCUUGCGCAAUGGGCGAAAGCCUGACGCAGCCAUGCCGCGUGAAUGAUGAAGGUCUUAGGAUUGUAAAAUUCUUUCACCGGGGACGAUAAUGACGGUACCCGGAGAAGAAGCCCCGGCUAACUUCGUGCCAGCAGCCGCCGUAA